AACGAACGCUGGCGGCAUGCCUAACACAUGCAAGUCGAACGAGACCUUCGGGUCUAGUGGCGCACGGGUGCGUAACGCGUGGGAACUUGCCCUUAGGUUCGGAAUAACUCCCCGAAAGGGGUGCUAAUACCGGAUAAUGUCUUCGGACCAAAGAUUUAUUGCAUCUGGAUGGGCCCGCGUUGGAUUAGCUAGUUGGUAGGGUAAAAGCCUACCAAGGCGACGAUGCAUAGCUGGUCUGAGAGGAGGAUCAGCCACACUGGGACUGAGACACGGCCCAGACUCCUACGCGAGGCAGCAGUGGGGAAUAUUGGACAAUGGGGGAAGGCCUGAUCCAGCAAUGCCGGGUAAGUGAUGAAGGCCUUAGGGUUGUAAAGCUCUUUUACCCGUGAUGAUAAUGACGGUACCGGGUGAAUAAGCUCCGGCUAACUCCGUG
rnacentral:rRNA from 1 species